CGACUCUCGGCAACGGAUAUCUCGGCUCACGCAUCGAUGAAGAACGUAGCAAAAUGCGAUACUUGGUGUGAAUUGCAGAAUCCCGUGAACCAUCGAGUUUUUGAACGCAAGUUGCGCCCGAAGCCAUUUGGUUGAGGGCACGUCUGCCUGGGCGUCACG
rnacentral:rRNA from 3 species